rnacentral:ncRNA from 1 species
GGGGAGAGGCUUAGAAUCCCCGCAGACGGCGUGUUAAUAGCAGUGUCUUUGGCCGGGCAUUGUGGUUAGUGAAUC